rnacentral:rRNA from 1 species
GGUUAAGCGACUAAGCGUACACGGUGGAUGCCCUGGCAGUCAGAGGCGAUGAAGGACGUGCUAAUCUGCGAAAAGCGCCGGCGAGGUGAUAUGAACCUUUGACCCGGCGAUGUCCGAAUGGGGAAACCCAGUGUGUUCCGACACACUAUCGUUAACUGAAUACAUAGGUUAACGAGGCGAACCGGGGGAACUGAAACAUCUAAGUACCCCGAGGAAAAGAAAUCAACCGAGAUUCCCCCAGUAGCGGCGAGCGAACGGGGAGCAGCCCGGAGUCUGAAUCAGCUUGUGUGUUAGUGGAACGGUCUGGAAAGUCCGACGGUACAGGGUGAUAGUCCCGUACACGAAAAUGCACAGGUUGUGAACUCGAAGAGUAGGGCGGGACACGUGGUAUCCUGUCUGAAUAUGGGGGGACCAUCCUCCAAGGCUAAAUACUCCUGACUGACCGAUAGUGAACCAGUACCGUGAGGGAAAGGCGAAAAGAACCCCGGCGAGGGGAGUGAAAAAGAACCUGAAACCGUGUACGUACAAGCAGUGGGAGCCUCUUUUAUGGGGUGACUGCGUACCUUUUGUAUAAUGGGUCAGCGACUUAUAUUCUGUAGCAAGGUUAACCGUAUAGGGGAGCCGAAGGGAAACCGAGUCUUAACUGGGCGUUAAGUUGCAGGGUAUAGACCCGAAACCCGGUGAUCUAGCCAUGGGCAGGUUGAAGGUUGGGUAACACUAACUGGAGGACCGAACCGACUAAUGUUGAAAAAUUAGCGGAUGACCUGUGGCUGGGGGUGAAAGGCCAAUCAAACCGGGAGAUAGCUGGUUCUCCCCGAAAGCUAUUUAGGUAGCGCCUCGUGAACUCAUCUUCGGGGGUAGAGCACUGUUUCGGCUAGGGGGCCAUCCCGGCUUACCAACCCGAUGCAAACUACGAAUACCGAAGAAUGUUAUCACGGGAGACACACGGCGGGUGCUAACGUCCGUCGUGAAGAGGGAAACAACCCAGACCGCCAGCUAAGGUCCCAAAGUCAUGGUUAAGUGGGAAACGAUGUGGGAAGGCACAGACAGCCAGGAUGUUGGCUUAGAAGCAGCCAUCAUUUAAAGAAAGCGUAAUAGCUCACUGGUCGAGUCGGCCUGCGCGGAAGAUGUAACGGGGCUAAACCAUGCACCGAAGCUGCGGCAGCGAC